AGAAUGAACGUUGGCGGCGUGGAUUAGGCAUGCAAGUCGUACGGGCCGCAAGGCCAGUGGCGCAAGGGUGAGUAAGGCGACGGUAACCAACCCCAUGAUUGGGUAUAGCCGCGGGAAACUGCGGGUAAUCCCCAGCGACGUCCGGGAGAGGCAUCUCUCUCGGACCAAAGCUCCGGCGUCGUGGGACGGGCUGUCGUGGUAUUAGCUUGUUGGCGGGGUAACGGCCCACCAAGGCUGUGAUGCCUACCGGGCGUGCGAGCGUGGCCCGGCACACUGGGACUGAGACACUGCCCAGACUCCUACGGGAGGCUGCAGUCGAGAAUCUUCGGCAAUGGGCGCAAGCCUGACCGAGCGACGCCGCGUGGAGGACGAAGGCCUUCGGGUUGUAAACUCCUGUCGAGGGGGAAGAAGGGGUAAAACCUUGACUGAUCCCUGGAGAGCACGGGCUAAGUCGUGCCAGCAGCCGC
rnacentral:rRNA from 1 species